UUUCCGUAGGUGAACCUGCGGAAGGAUCAUUACUGAGUGAGGGCCCCUCGGGGUCCAACCUCCACCCGUGUUUAACGAACCUUGUUGCUUCGGCGGGCCCGCCUCACGGCCGCCGGGGGGCAUCUGCCCCCGGGCCCGCGCCCACCGAAGCCACCUGUGAACGCUGUCUGAAGUAUGCAGUCUGAGACAAUUAUUAAAUUAAUUAAAACUUUCAACAACGGAUCUCUUGGUUCCG
rnacentral:misc_RNA from 1 species